GUUCAUUUUUGGCCUCAUUAAAAAAAAACCGUAAAUCCAGAGAGAACCCAUUUAUUUUUUAUUAUAUUUUCUCCUUGAAGCAAAUAAGCAUGAUCCAUUUUUAUCUUGGCUUUGGUGAAUUUUCUUGCUUCUAUAUAAUGCUUUUUCUGAUCAGUAAUCUAAAUGACCAAUGAUAUCUACAAACCCUUCCUUUUUGUACAUCAUUUGCUUGGAUUUUUGGCUAUAAAAGUUUGUGUACAAAAUGAAUUAUAUAAAAUCAAAUAUGACAAACCAGAUGAAGGUGAACACUAUGAGGUAGAAUUUAGCAACAGUCUUCAUUUUGAUUUUUGGUAUUGGGCCAAAAUGGUAACAAAAAUGCUUGAAAAAUCCACAAAGGAAGAAAGGUUUUGCACCAAAAAAAAAAAAUUCAGAGAUGGAGAGGAGAGGUUUAAUAUUCUGUUGAAUGAACUCUGGAUUGUGGAAAGGAAG
rnacentral:misc_RNA from 1 species